UACGUAGGGUGCAAGCGUUGUCCGGAAUUAUUGGGCGUAAAGAGCUCGUAGGCGGUCUGUCGCGUCGAAUGUGAAAACCCGGGGCUCAACUCCGGGCUUGCAUUCGAUACGGGCAGGCUAGAGUUCGGUAGGGGAGUCUGGAAUUCCUGGUGUAGUGGUGAAAUGCGUAGAGAUCAGGAGGAACACCGAUGGCGAAGGCGGCCUACUGGGCCAGCACUGACGCUGAGGCGCGAAAGCUCGGGGAGCGAACGGG
rnacentral:rRNA from 1 species